rnacentral:rRNA from 1 species
UACGUAGGGGGCAAGCGUUGUCCGGAUUAUUGGGCGUAAAGAGCGUGUAGGCGGCCAGACAGGUCCGUUGUGAAAACUCGAGGCUCAACCUCGAGACGCCGAUGGAAACCGUCUGGCUAGAGUCCGGAAGAGGAGAGUGGAAUUCCUGGUGAGCGGUGAAAUGGCGCAGAUAUCAGGAAGAACACCCGUGGCUAAGGCGGCGUCUCUAGUACGGUACUGACGCUGAGACGCGAAGCGUGGGAGCGAACAGG